CUCACGGUGUCAGUCGUGCACCACAGCACCAGUCCUCCAGAUCUUCCUCCCACCUUUACUCCCCCAGUCCUGAAAGUUGGGUGCCGUCUACUAUCUGCGUUUCCAUAGCAACAGCAGCUGAGAAGUGUCUCGUGGAUACACCUGGCAGGUUUCUUCAAGCUACCCACGAUACCCGGUAACCAGGACCCUUGUGUCGACCUGAAGACUUGUCUUCCGACAACCACUGCUGAGUCACAAAGCCAAACAUGGAGAAGUAUAAACGGGUGGUUUCACUGGACGGAGUACCCGGGCUUUAGCUUGUUCACCUGGCCUGCACCUGCUUGAGGCGGCUCUUUGAGACUCCAACGGCUGCCUGACGACAGGUGAGAGAAGGUGGACAGAGCGGCUUCAGGGCCCGGCAGCGCGGUGCUGCAGCAGGAGAGACCAUCGCCGGGUGCCGGCCACAGGGGAGACUACACGAGCCGCGGUGAUUACCGCCCUUCACGUCGAGAGCCGGAGGGCAGCGCUGUCUAAAAUGUCGAUACCUGCACGUGACAGGUGGCUGUGAUCAGAGAUCGAUACCCGCACGUGACAGAGGUCGUCACGUAUCGACGCCUGCGGACCACCUACAGUCGCUGGAUGAGUUACCUCCCAUU